rnacentral:rRNA from 1 species
GACGAACGCUGGCGGCGUGCUUAACACAUGCAAGUCGAACGGAAAGGCCCUGCUUUUGUGGGGUGCUCGAGUGGCGAACGGGUGAGUAACACGUGAGUAACCUGCCCUUGACUUUGGGAUAACUUCAGGAAACUGGGGCUAAUACCGGAUAGGAGCUCCUGCUGCAUGGUGGGGGUUGGAAAGUUUCGGCGGUUGGGGAUGGACUCGCGGCUUAUCAGCCUGUUGGUGGGGUAGUGGCUUACCAAGGCUUUGACGGGUAGCCGGCCUGAGAGGGUGACCGGCCACAUUGGGACUGAGAUACGGCCCAGACUCCUACGGGAGGCAGCAGGGGGGAAUUUUGCACAAUGGGCGGAAGCCUGAUGCAGCAACGCCGCGUGCGGGAUGACGGCCUUCGGGUUGUAAACCGCUUUCGCCUGUGACGAAGCGGGAGUGACGGUAAUGGGUAAAGAAGCAACGGCUAACUACGUG